AACGAACGCUGGCGGCAUGCCUAACACAUGCAAGUCGAACGAGAUCUUCGGGUCUAGUGGCGCACGGGUGCGUAACGCGUGGGAAUCUGCCCUUUGGUUCGGAAUAACAGUUGGAAACGACUGCUAAUACCGGAUGAUGACGAAAGUCCAAAGAUUUAUCGCCAGAGGAUGAGCCCGCGUAGGAUUAGCUAGUUGGUGUGGUAAAGGCGCACCAAGGCGACGAUCCUUAGCUGGUCUGAGAGGAUGAUCAGCCACACUGGGACUGAGACACGGCCCAGACUCCUACGGGGGGCAGCGUUGGGGAAUAUUGGACAAUGGGCGAAAGCCUGAUCCAGCAAUGCCGCGUGAGUGAUGAAGGCCUUAGGGUUGUAAAGCUCUUCUACCCGGGAUGAUAAUGACAGUACCGGGAGAAUAAGCUCCGGCUAACUCCGUGCCAGCAGCCGCCGUAA
rnacentral:rRNA from 1 species